GUAGUCUCGCACAGAUGCAUAUCAAUAAGCGGAGGAAAAGAAACUAACAAGGAUUCCCUUAGUAACGGCGAGUGAAGCGGGAAGAGCUCAAAUUUGAAAUCUUCAAGGUUUUACCUUGACGAAUUGUAGUUUAAAGUAAGUGUUUUCUGUUGAAGUUUUGGUAAAAGUUCUUUGGAAUAGGACAUCAUAGAGGGUGAGAAUCCCGUAUUUGACCAUUAUUUUCAGCUGUGUGAUACACUUUCAAAGAGUCGGAUUGUUUGGGAAUGCAGUCCAAAAUGGGUGGUAAAUUUCAUCUAAAGCUAAAUAUUGGCGAGAGACCGAUAGCGAACAAGUACCGUGAGGGAAAGAUGAAAAGAACUUUGAAAAGAGAGUUAAACAGUACGUGAAAUUGUCAAAAGGGAAGCGUUUGACACCAGUGUUGCUUUUCUCGAAAAUCAAUUAAAAAGAGUUAGAUUUUGUUGUGUAUUGACCUUAACAGCUUGCAUUUAAAUUUUCUUGCUUUUUUUAAUGCACUUUUCGUUUAACAAGUCAACAGUCAGUUUCUUUUGUUGUAAAAAGGUCAUUGGAAGGUGGCUUUCUUUUCGGAGAAAGUGUUUAUAGCCUUUGACUCCUGCAAUCGGAGAGACUGAGGUCUGCAGCGUAGAUCCUUCGGGGUUAGAUACAUUUGUGCUAAGUUAUAGCUUUUUAUAGACAACUUGUUGACUAUGAUUAGUCUUGUAGCUUACUCGCUUAUGCUAUUUUACCUACGCUUAGGAUGUUGAAGAUGUAGACAUCAU
rnacentral:rRNA from 1 species